CCUACGGGGGGCAGCAGUGGGGAAUAUUGCACAAUGGGGGAAACCCUGAUGCAGCGACGCCGCGUGAGUGAAGAAGCGCCUCGGCGCGUAAAGCUCUGUCAGCAGGAACGAUAAUGACGGUACCUGAAGAAGAAGCCCCGGCUAACUACGUGCCAGCAGCCGCGGUAAUACGUAGGGGGCAAGCGUUAUCCGGAUUUACUGGGUGUAAAGGGAGCGUAGAUGGCGGGGCAAGUCUGGAGUGAAAGGCCGGGGCCCAACCCCGGGACCGCUCUGGAAACUGCCCGGCUGGAGUGCGGGAGAGGUAA
rnacentral:rRNA from 1 species